CACAAAGUGCAAAGCCUGCCACAGUUUGUCUUCAGCCACAACUACUCUGAGCUCGUUCACCUGGAUCCGUGCUGCCUAAAGAGCCUGCUGCUGUGUGGAGCACCAUCAAGUACCUGCUAGCAGCGGAAGCUGAGGACCAGAACAAAGCUACAGACCAGCAGCACUUCAAUUUCCUUGUUACUGCCUCAGCAACCUGAAAAGAAGCAAGGAACAAAAUCAACUUCCUGGGUCAUGCAGCAAGGAACAUAAUCUGCUUCGUCAUGCAGCUUGCAGUACUCGGUGCCAUAAACAACUCUACUUGCGCACUGGUCCAGGCAUGG